rnacentral:rRNA from 1 species
UACAGAGGUCUCAAGCGUUGUUCGGAUUCAUUGGGCGUAAAGGGCGCGUAGGCGGCGGGGUAAGUCGGGUGUGAAAUCUCAGAGCUCAACUCUGAAACUGCACUCGAUACUGCUCUGCUUGAGGACUGGAGAGGAGACUGGAAUUCACGGUGUAGCAGUGAAAUGCGUAGAUAUCGUGAGGAAGACCAGUGGCGAAGGCGGGUCUCUGGACAGUUACUGACGCUGAGGCGCGAAGGCCAGGGGAGCAAACGGG